ensembl:lncRNA
CGCGUGGAUUUUCAGCAACAGUAUAGGAUCAAAUAAACAUUUAUUUCAAGCUCAGCAACACCUGGAUUCGUCAAACAGUUGGUCUAAAACUUGUUUUAUAUCCUUUGUGAUGAUACUUUCUAUGAGAGUGGGAAUGCCUCCUCAGCAGUGCAUUACUAGAAAGGCCUACAGAUUCCUUGAGCUGAUGACGCUCAUUGAAACGAAAUGUUUACAAAGUUUUAUAAAUAAUCAAGUGAUAACGUGCCAUUUCAGCUGUGUAUGUGGUGCAACACAAAACUAACCUGAAAGUAGCAUUUGUAAACGCCGGUUCACUCUUUGGCAUUACACAACCCUUGGGAGGUUCGUUUCAGCCUCGUCGUGCACAAAGACAGCAGCGAUGAUCAUCAGGCUCGGCAGACUGACUCCUGGAUACUUCCGUCUCCUGCAGAGGCAGGUAGCAGGUGAGGUUCAGGCCCCAACGCACGACCGUGCCGUCAACCAGAUCGCCAUGAUGCUGGCCAUCAUGGGCCUCAGCCUGUCGUAUUACAGUGCCAAACAAAUGACCGAGAAGGUUCGCCGCGAACCCGCCCCAUGAAGAUGUGCGAAUGCGCUCCGGAUUGACGGCGUCCGGAAAAGACGAAGCCAAACUGAAGAUGUUCAGAUGUCGAAGAUUCAGACUCUACCUUAUAUCUAUAACCUCUAGGGAUCGCACACCUCGGGACUUCCGCUUAGGGGUUCUCUUGCUUUAGUUUAGCUCUCAAUGGAUCUGGAAGUGGUUGUGGCCUGAGUUUUAAUAGUUGACUUGAUACAUGCAUCAGAGAGUCAGUCAGUUCUGCUGUAGGUUCAAAACCUGAGCUCCACAUUGCAUCUGGAGCUCCACUCUAUGCCAUAAUGUGUUUUAAAAAGGGAAGGACCUCUGUGUUUGAGAUGUACCAAGCAACUAUUGAAAGCAGGUCCAAUGCACAAGAGUGAAAUGCUCAGAUUUCCCCCCAAAACAUGCUAUUGAAGAACAUCAGAGGCUUGGGGACUUAUAGUGGAGGUGCUGCUCUACAAUACUACACUUGAUGUUAGACACUUUAGGAAAUGUACUACACAGGACCUUAUGUUAAAGUGACUUGUUCUUUUCAUUAGAACUUAAGAAAAUAUCUUCUCAUUGGUCUCCAACACUUUAGAUGUUAAUGCUGACUUCGUGUGCAAUUGCAUGAGAUUGAAGCAGUUUUUAUUUUUAGUGAAACCAAUCUGUAAUGUUAUUUCUAAUGCUUUUUUUAUGAUAAUGUGAUUAAGAUGAAUGUACUGUAUGUUAUAUUUUUAAGACACAAUGAUCAAAUAAAGCUGUGAAUAUUUUGAACAUGAUCAAGUAAUGGAAAGCAAGUCGUGACUCAAGAAGGUUUAGAAGAACGUUAUGAAAUUUGGCCAACUCAUUCCUGCUGAGUCGAGUUUUACACGAAACCAUAUGAAAGGUUUUCCUGUCGGCAGAAGCGUGCUGUUGAACAGGAAGUGGGCACAGCCUCAGGCAACAGCUUCCUCUAUCUGCACGCAAUAUUUGUCUACCAGUGUGCUGUAGCUGGCUUUAUGUUUGAC